AUUGAACGCUGGCGGCAUGCCUUACACAUGCAAGUCGAACGGUAGAGUAGCAAUACUUGAGAGUGGCGAACGGGUGAGUAAUAUAUCGGAACGUGCCCAGUCGUGGGGGAUAACGUAGCGAAAGCUACGCUAAUACCGCAUACGAUCUAUGGAUGAAAGCGGGGGAUCGCAAGACCUCGCGCGAUUGGAGCGGCCGAUAUCAGAUUAGGUAGUUGGUGAGGUAAAGGCUCACCAAGCCGACGAUCUGUAGCUGGUCUGAGAGGACGACCAGCCACACUGGGACUGAGACACGGCCCAGACUCCUACGGGAGGCAGCAGUGGGGAAUUUUGGACAAUGGGCGCAAGCCUGAUCCAGCAAUGCCGCGUGCAGGAUGAAGGCCUUCGGGUUGUAAACUGCUUUUGUACGGAACGAAACGGUGAGCUCUAAUACAGUUUGCUAAUGACGGUACCGUAAGAAUAAGCACCGGCUAACUACGUG
rnacentral:rRNA from 1 species